rnacentral:misc_RNA from 1 species
GAUUAUUUUCAAGAGAGCUGGUGAAAUCUCUUUUCCUUCACGAAGUGUGUUAUCCACGAAGGUAUUGAUAUAUUUUUGCUGCAAAGCAUUAAGGAGAUGGCUGAGAAAACCUUUACUGACAUCGUCAUUCCCUCUAGAACUAAUAAAUACAUCCCAUGUCUUCCGUUGGGAAAGGGUCGAAGAACUAGAAGCCAUAGUAAAUGAUGAAAGAUGGCUUAUGGAAGUCGAGUUUAGCCCUAUACUUUUCAAUGGCAUAUACCCUUCUAAGACUUCAACAAUCUCUUUCAUUCUUGGUCGAAAAAGUGCAGGUUUAUAAAUCGAAACGGCAGCACAACAAAUCAUUUUUCUUAUUUCUUCUUUGUCGUACAACUCUCCCAAUUUGGAAUCAACAAGAUCGACAUAGUCAUUAUUGUUCAAAGCUUGUCCAAUUCGAUCCUUUGCCCAAUUAAUAAUGUUAUUG